ensembl:lncRNA
ACCUCCUCGAUGUUCCUCCAGACCCCAAAGUCCCCCUUGUCCUCCAUGCCCCCCCAUAUACCCUCAUGAUUUCCCAUAGACCACCCUGACCCCCUACGGAUCCUAAAGUCCUCCUUACCUUCCAUGCCCCCAUAAGCCCCCACAAUCCCCUAUAGAGCCCUACAUCCUUUAUGCCCCCCUAUAAGCUCCCACCAUCCCCUACAGACUCCAGCCCACCCCUUUGUCGCCCCAUUGGCACUCCACAGCACCGCCACCACCCACAUCCUUUUCCGUUGUAGGGCGGAAGGAAGCGGCGGCCCCACAGUGUGGCAGCAGCGCCAUGGCUGGCCCUAUAACCGCCCUUAUGGGCGUUGUGCUCAGGGGUGAGGGGGGAUCCCAUAUUUGGGGGUGUCCUAUGGGGGUUGCUAUGGGGUCAGUAGGGUGCUAUGGGGUGCUUUGGCCCCACGGUGACCCCACUGUGCCCCCCCCCCAAGCUCUGUUCUCCCCUAUGGGAACCUUCAACUUCCAUCCGACCCCACAGCGGGUCCUGGAGGUCGCGGGGACCCCCAGCUUUGGUUAUGGGGUGCUGAUGCUGUCAGAGGGACGGGUGGUUGUGGGGGCUCCAAAUGUGGGGCGGUUGUAUGGCUGCCAGGUGCAGAGUGGGGAGUGCAGGGAAGUGGAGUUAUGGGGCUUGUGGCCCCGGGCUGAGGUGGGAAUGCAACCACAACAUCCACGUUGGGGGGGUCUGCACUGUGCUGGACCCCUAACUGCAGCCGCUGCAGGUGUUGGAGGCUGGAUAUCAGGUCUGAAAGCAUAUGAGUUCAAGGCCAUCCGGGAUUUCAUGGUGGAGGUGAUGGAGCAGCUGAGCAACAGCUCCUUCAGGGUGAGCACUGGGGGGUGGGAGCGGGGGCUUCUCUGGGGUCUCUGGGGGCUUCUCUGGGGGCCCUACGGGUGUAUAGGAGUCUCUAUGGGUCUGUACGUGUUUUUGUGGAGUCCCUAUGGCGUCUCUAUGGUGUCGGUAUGGGAUGUCCACACAUCCGUUUGUCCAUCAGAUCGCAGCCGUUCAGUGCUCCGAUUUCCCUGAGCCUGUGUGUCUCUAUGGGGUCUGUAAGGGGUCUGUGUGGACGAUAUGGGGUCUCUACGGGGCCCCUGUGGGUAUAUAGGAGUUUCUAUGGGGUCACUAUGGUGUUUCUAUGGGGUCCCUAUGGGGUAUCUGGGGCAGCAUGGGACCUCCACGAGGUCGCUAUGGUGUCAGUACGGGAUGUCCGUCUGUCCGUCAGUUCGCAGCCGUGCAGUUCUCUGAUUCCCUGGAGCCGGUUUUCGCACUCCGCGAUUACUUGGAGCGGCCGCAGCCCCGGGAGCUGCUGCGCGACGUCCGGCAGCAGGACAGCUUCACCGACACCUUCACGGCUGUCCAAUAUGUCGCAUGCGUGUCAGCUGACCGCCCCACGUGACCACCCGCCCGUCACAUGACCGCCCGCCUCCCUGCGCUCGCUGUGUCUCCUGGCACCCUGUCACAUGACCGCCCGUCUGUGACUUCGGGCCACGCGACCAACUGUCUGAGUUCCCUUCACGUGACCACCUGACUGUGAGUUCCUGUCACGUGACCGCCUCUCUGUCACGUAGAGGGAAGGGGACGGGAGUGGAAGGGUGGGAAGGGGUGUGGAGGAGAGAGGAGGGGACUGAAGGGGAGGGGAGGAG